AUUGAACGCUGGCGGCAGGCCUAACACAUGCAAGUCGAACGGUAGCACAGAGAGCUUGCUCUCGGGUGACGAGUGGCGGACGGGUGAGUAACGUCUGGGAAACUGCCCGAUGGAGGGGGAUAACUACUGGAAACGGUAGCUAAUACCGCACAACGUCGCAAGACCAAAGUGGGGGACCUUCGGGCCUCACACCAUCGGAUGUGCCCAGAUGGGAUUAGCUAGUAGGUGGGGUAAUGGCUCACCUAGGCGACGAUCCCUAGCUGGUCUGAGAGGAUGACCAGCCACACUGGAACUGAGACACGGUCCAGACUCCUACGGGAGGCAGCAGUGGGGAAUAUUGCACAAUGGGCGCAAGCCUGAUGCAGCCAUGCCGCGUGUAUGAAGAAGGCCUUCGGGUUGUAAAGUACUUUCAGCGGGGAGGAAGGCGGUGAAGUUAACAGCUUCACCGAUUGACGUUACCCGCAGAAGAAGCACCGGCUAACUCCGUGCCAGCCGCCGCCGUAA
rnacentral:rRNA from 1 species